UACAGAGGUCUCAAGCGUCGUUCGGAAUCACUGGGCGUAAAGGGUGCGUAGGUGGCGAGGUAAGUCAGAUGUGAAAGCCCGGGGCUCAACCUCGGAAUUGCAUCCGAUACUGCCCUGCUUGAGUACUGAAGGGGUGACUAGAAUUCUCGGUGUAGCAGUGAAAUGCGUAGAUAUCGAGAGGAAUACCAAAGGCGUAGGCAGGUCACUGGGCAGUUACUGACACUGAGGCACGAAGGCCAGGGGAGCGAACGGG
rnacentral:rRNA from 1 species